GACGAAGGGGGCUAGCGUUGCUCGGAAUCACUGGGCGUAAAGCGCGCGCAGGCGGUCUUCCAAGUCAGUGGUGAAAGCCCGGAGCUCAACUCCGGAACUGCCAUUGAAACUGUAAGACUUGAGGAUGAGAGAGGUGAGUGGAAUUCCCAGUGUAGAGGUGAAAUUCGUAGAUAUUGGGAAGAACACCGGUGGCGAAGGCGGCUCACUGGCUCAUAUCUGACGCUCAGGCGCGAAAGCGUGGGGAUCAAACAGG
rnacentral:rRNA from 1 species